GGACGAUGCUAAAUCAUGCUAGCUACUUCCUGCCGCAAAAGUAAAUAGAGUAAUGUGGAUGCUCUCUAUACUGUCGUACAUAGACAACUCAAGGUAAGAUGAAUUUGACCCAAACAUCAAGAUUAGAUUAACUAAACCUAUAAUCCCUCACAGGCUACACUGAACAAUGGGAAGCAACUCCAAGGGACUCUACGUGAGGCGCUGUCACAGCUAGACUUCCUAUUGGACUGUAUCGGAAGGGAGCGCGUGGAGCAGUUCGAGAGAAGAGCUGGACAGGCCCUUAGCAACAGUGCAGCUCUCCUCACAGCCCUAGCCCAAUCCCAGGUGUCCCUAGUGAGCACAGAGGUGGAUGGAGACAUUAAGAAACCAAGCAACACACCUGGCAAAGCGCCAUCUUUCAGCGCGGCAUCCCUUUUGUCACAACCUGUAGAGAUAGUGACUCCAGGCGGGAUCAAACCUCUUCCGGCUAAUAUUGACUCAACGAAAGAUCCGCAAAAAGAGCAGGCUGAAAGCAGAGUGCAAAGCAAAAGAGCCAUUACCAGAGGAACAAUGGAUGCUGUUAAAGAACCUACCAAGAAAGUGAUGAGCGACACUGAACAAAGAGCAGAGGACCUAGAAUACGGCAAAGACUCAUUGAAGGGCUGGAGCAUCCAGCCAGCAGAGAGAAUGGUCACAGACAUGGAGGAUGGGGAGAGUCAAAUACAAAUUCCCAUGGGAGAAACCUUAACCCAAACUCCCAUCACCAGCGUUGAUAUCUCAGCCACUGUGGUGGUGCCAGAGACCCCGGGCUCUAGCCAAUGUGGGGAUACUGUAACAGAGAUGACACCUCACCAUAUAGAACCAAUGGAUCGAGAGGGAACCUCACCUCCGACACCGCACAAAGUGUUCACCAUCGUUCUGGACACAGACCUCGAACGACAACUUGAUGGCAUGUCUAUGGCCAACGCUCUCCAAAGCAGACCAGGUUACCAUGGCAACAAUGCUAUUGUACAUACAGACUCACCUCAACCUGGCGACGGUGAGAUUCCAGCUACUGAGUCACAUGACGAUGCAAACACUGCGGUUGCAUAUGCUGGGAAAUUUCUUGUUCAGGAAGCUGAGACUCUACAUCGUGAAGUCACUUCCUCGACCAAAGCUGAAUUGGGCAUUAAAAGCAGUGUGGGGCUAGAUGUAACACAUCUCAUGCCGCAUCCAGAAAGAAAGCAGCUGGAGACGCAUGCAAGACCCACAGACAAAUCACAGUCAGAUAACAAAACACAACGCACAGAGUCUAGAGACUGCACUGAGACAAAGAAAGUAUUUACAAUUGUUUUGGACAUGGAGCUACCUCUGUCUCAGUCCAAGGACAUUCAAAGCAGGGAGCCUCCUUGUGGUAAUGGCUCAGAUACAUUUAGCUCUGGUGACCUUCCUUCAAAACUGACUGAUAGUUCUGUCACUGGGAACACCAAGAACACAGAUGGCGGGCGGCGCGUCAAGUCAAAGCACAGGGGGCGGAGGAGGGCUGAUUUUAGGAGCUCAGCGUCCAAGGGCCACAAAGUGAAGAGUUCCAAGGGCCCCUCUGCUGCAAAGAACACGGAAUCAGAGUGGGAGAAAUCGCAGGGCCCCAAAACAAAAGGUCUGAAAUCAAAAGGCCCCGAAUCAGGGCUCACAGAGUCGAAGUCCGCUGAAUUGGCAGACACCGAAUCCGAGUCACAGAGACACACUGAUAACUCUGACAACACUGAACCAGGAAGUGUUGACGAUGACGUAGACACAGACGCUAAAGAUGCCAGACAGACAGAAAUGACAAACAGACAAAUAGCUGUAAACACAGAAGCAUCUGACAGAAUGAAGGAGACUUCAGACAUCACCUGUACUACAGACAGCAAAGAUAACAGACAGAUUGUGAGCAAAGACACUGGAAAGAUAGACACAACUGACAUGCUACAGGUGAAUGAUCUCACACAGACAUAUGUCAGUCAGACAGAUGCCACAAGAGACAAUACACAGUUGUCACACGCACCUUCACCAGCAUAUGCAGCCACAGAGAUUGAGCCCAGAGAGGGGACAGAAAGGACAGCUCCACAGGAACAGAUGCAGGAGGGGAGUGAAGUCAAGAGGAGUACCUCGGUCCAGACUGGUGGGUUGCUAUCCGAAGCCGUGGCGAAGGUGGAGAGAGUUGGGGCAGCGGUGCGCACGGAGGUCCCGCGCCACAGGUCCACUAUGCAAGGCAUCCUCUCUGAGGUCCAAGGGUUGGUGGAGAGGAAGGACAUCAUCAAGGUGAGUGUUAGGGAGUUUCUCUGUACGGCCGACCAUGAGAUUCGAACUUGUGUUCAUUACAAUAAUACUCACCCGACCACAAUCGGUAAUUCUCAACAGCAAUACUCAGCCAAGCCAAAGGUGUGUGAACUGAGACAGUUGGCUAUUAGAUCUCAGGGAAGGUAAGGUGGCGUCAACAUGGGAUAUGGUUUACUGUGCAUUGUAGGAACCCAACUAGUUG
rnacentral:lncRNA from 1 species